rnacentral:rRNA from 1 species
GAUGAACGCUGGCGGCGUGCCUAAUACAUGCAAGUCGAGCGAACAGAUGAGGAGCUUGCUCCUCUGACGUUAGCGGCGGACGGGUGAGUAACACGUGGAUAACCUACCUAUAAGACUGGGAUAACUUCGGGAAACCGGAGCUAAUACCGGAUAAUAUAUCGAACCGCAUGGUUCGAUAGUGAAAGACGGUUUUGCUAUCACUUAUAGAUGGACCCGCGCCGCAUUAGCUAGUUGGUAAGGUAACGGCUUACCAAGGCGACGAUGCGUAGCCGACCUGAGAGGGUGAUCGGCCACACUGGAACUGAGACACGGUCCAGACUCCUACGGGAGGCAGCAGUAGGGAAUCUUCCGCAAUGGGCGAAAGCUUGACGGAGCAACGCCGCGUGAGUGAUGAAGGUCUUCGGAUCGUAAAACUCUGUUAUUAGGGAAGAACAAAUGUGUAAGUAACUAUGCACGUCUUGACGGUACCUAAUCAGAAAGCCACGGCUAACUACGUG